rnacentral:misc_RNA from 1 species
AAGUCGUAACAAGGUUUCCGUAGGUGAACCUGCGGAAGGAUCAUUAGUACGUUUGUAACAAAACGUUUAAACUCCAAACUGUCGUGAAACGUCUGUUACGGGUUUGCAUUUGUGGAGACACAAUGACUUGUUUGUUGUGCUUUUGAAAAGGAACUGUUAUGCAACUUGCAUACCAUCUCAAGUGUAGAGCAAUGAGAUGACAAACACACUUCGUGUUUGUGGUUCUGAAAUACAAAUGCUUACUCGGUUAAUUUUGCUCUACGCUUUUUCUAAAUCAAACUCUAUAAACCCCAUGUACAACAACUUGAACUAACAACUUUUUUUUCUAACUCUGCCUUGCGGUAGAAAGAGAAAGAAAAAUAACCGAAAUUAAGAACAACUCUUAACAACGGAUAUCUUGGUUCUC